GACGAACGCUGGCGGCGUGCUUAACACAUGCAAGUCGAGCGGAAAGGCCACUUCGGUGGUACUCGAGCGGCGAACGGGUGAGUAACACGUGAGUAAUCUGCCCCUGGCUUUGGGAUAGCCACCGGAAACGGUGCUUAAUACCGGAUACGACCACUUCUCGCAUGGGAUGGUGGUGGAAAGUUGUUUCGGCCAGGGAUGUGCUCGCGGCCUAUCAGCUUGAUGGUGAGGUAAUGGCUCACCAUGGCCUCGACGGGUAGCCGGCCUGAGAGGGUGACCGGUCACACUGGGACUGAGACACGGCCCAGACUCCUACGGGAGGCAGCAGUGGGGAAUAUUGGACAAUGGGCGGAAGCCUGAUCCAGCAACGCCGCGUGAGGGAUGACGGCCUUCGGGUUGUAAACCUCUUUCAGCAGGGACGAAGCGCAAGUGACGGUACCUGCAGAAGAAGCACCGGCCAACUACGUGCCAGCAGCCGCAGUAA
rnacentral:rRNA from 1 species